rnacentral:tRNA from 2 species
GCUCCAGUAGCCGGGUUCACAGUCGCUUGACCAGCAAAGACGUGCGGGACGCACGGGGCCUCCGGAGCCGUGUGCGCAGGUUCGAAUCCUGCCGGGGGCA